rnacentral:rRNA from 1 species
AGUCGACGAUGAAUCUUCUAGCUUGCUAGAAGUGGAUUAGUGGCGCACGGGUGAGUAAUGCAUAGGUUAUGUGCCCUUUAGUCUGGGAUAGCCACUGGAAACGGUGAUUAAUACUGGAUACUCCCUACGGGGGAAAGUUUUUCGCUAAAGGAUCAGCCUAUGUCCUAUCAGCUUGUUGGUGAGGUAAUGGCUCACCAAGGCUGUGACGGGUAUCCGGCCUGAGAGGGUGAUCGGACACACUGGAACUGAGACACGGUCCAGACUCCUACGGGAGGCAGCAGUAGGGAAUAUUGCUCAAUGGGGGAAACCCUGAAGCAGCAACGCCGCGUGGAGGAUGAAGGUUUUAGGAUUGUAAACUCCUUUUGUUAGAGAAGAUUAUGACGGUAUCUAACGAAUAAGCACCGGCUAACUCCGUGCCAGCAGCCGCGGUAAUACGGGGGGUGCAAGCGUUACUCGGAAUCACUGGGCGUAAAGAGUGCGUAGGCGGGGUAAUAAGUCAGAUGUGAAAUCCUGUAGCUUAACUACAGAACUGCAUUUGAAACUGUUACUCUGGAGUGUGGGAGAGGUAGGUGGAAUUCUUGGUGUAGGGGUAAAAUCCGUAGAGAUCAAGAGGAAUACUCAUUGCGAAGGCGACCUGCUGGAACAUUACUGACGCUGAUGCACGAAAGCGUGGGGAGCAAACAGGAUUAGAUACCCUGGUAGUCCACGCCCUAAACGAUGGACGCUAGUUGUUGCCUUGCUUGUCAGGGCAGUAAUGCAGCUAACGCAUUAAGCAUCCCGCCUGGGGAGUACGGUCGCAAGAUUAAAACUCAAAGGAAUAGACGGGGACCCGCACAAGCGGU